UCCCAACCUUCAAGAUCUCCGAUCGACGUCCCCGCGGCACGCCAUUGAGCUACCCCGGACUGGAGAACGCCAAUCAAGGCUCCCGUCGUGUGGACCCAGUCGAUCCCGAUAGCCAGUUCAGUCGACAGGAGGCUCCCGACAUCGACCCUUGGAUCGGGCCGUGUUGAUUCAUUAGCCAAAUGUGAGAAAGAUCGCGUCUUUCCGUCGUGUUGAUUGACGCUAAGGUUAUUGGGAGGAAAAAUAUCGCUUUUUUUUUUUGGGACCAUUUUUCGUGCUUUUUUAUUAUUUUUUUUUGGUGAGGGCGUUUUGAUUUCAGGGCUCCGAUCCGUUGAGAUUCAAGUGUGGGGUUAGGGUUUUCUGGUACUUGGACCCAAGGCUGGAAUUAGGUUUCUCUUCUUGCGUCUGAUGGUUUUUCUUUCGUGGUAGUCUUUGGAUUUUGACUAGGGUUCGGGUUUUCCUUCGGCACGACUGCUUGAGGGGCUACGUGCCGUUGCGGGAUGGCGGACGGGAGGAUGAAGGCUGUCGCUGAUGAUGAUGAAAGAAGGGAUGGCGACGACGAGGUCGGGCAGCAGGAUGAUGAUGAGGUUGAAGAAUUUGAGGAGCUGGAGCUUGGGCUUUCUCUGGGGCGUUGGGGAUGCAAUUCAGGGCUGACGAAUGGUGGCAGCGAUGAUGGCGGAGAGCGCGACUGUGUCCUUCCCUUCCGGUGGAGAGGGGCAUCGGGUGCUCAUGGUUUUAUGAGAGGCAGUCAGCUACUAGGCAUUUCAUCGCAAGACAAACAAAUUUGAGGACAUGGGGUGAGGAACUGGUGGGUGCGGUAGCUAUUGCCUCAGGAAAGAGAUGUUAGCUUGCCAGAUGAAGCAGUUUUCGAGAUGGAGAGAACUGGAUCAGAUAUAGACAGGGAUACUCAGCUCGAGCGGCCUAAAGUAUUUGCUUCCCCGAACCCUAGUAUGAUGACUUGAAGGGAACAGAUUAAUUCUUUUCUCUCAGAAGAAAUUUCUCAGAAGUCUUUCAAGUUUCAGAGAUCCAAUAUGCAUACGCUUGUAUAGCGAAAGACUUCAGGUACUCAAACCGAAGACUCUCUUGAGUUUCUUCUCUAUUGGCAUUUCCAUGCAUGGUUAACCAACCAGAAAAAUGAAUCAUAUCCCACAAGAAGGAAUUUGUCUUCAAGAACUUCUUUUGUUGGAGAAUCGCUGCUAUUUGCAGCUUGAAUCGAGAACAAACUAUAAGGCAACGUGGGCUUGAUUAUUUGGUUUUUGUGCUCGACAAAAUCAUGGGUUAGUCACUUUCGACAAUGCUUUAGUUGUCACUCUUUAUGGAGACAUGUUAUUGUCGCAUCUUCCUCCGAGAUGCUUAAACUUACAUUAGUUGUGACUCUUCUUCUUAUCUUGCAAUUUCCACAAUGAACCACAGCCUCUUCUUGAUUUUGAAGUCUACAUCAUCUUACCAUCCAAUCCCAUAGUAGGUACUUAUCAAUUUUACCUCUCCAUGCUAAUCAUUAUUAGUUUUAUUUAUAGGCAAUUUGGAUCUUGUAGACUUAAAUACAGUGAACUUUGCUAUCUAAGCUGAAAUAAUACUGAAUGGCAUAGCAGCUCUUUGGUCAAAGCAGAGUUCCAAGCAGGAGAUUGCUCCGACAUGGGCAAGAUCACUCUAAAGGAGCUUCUCAGAUUAGAUAUAUCCUCUCUGCAUAAUAUUGUUUUUUUUUUGUACCCUUUCCGUUUACAAAUAAAUUAUAGACCAUUUGCAGGCUUUGAAGGCAUCUUUCAACACUUUUGCUGAAAGCGAUCUUUCCUAAUCGACCAUACACUUUAUGCAGAGUCAUAAUCAGUAAUUCAUGUCUUGUUUCUGUGGUCAA